CUUACAUACAUUCAGUUGCAUUAAGAAGUGCUAAUACACUUUAAUUGCAUGUUUUUGUUGCAAAGUCUUUUAUAUGUAUGUAAAUACAUAUACAUAUAUGUAUAAUAACAAUAGCGAUGCAAACACGAAGUCACUACAUGAUUAUUUCUGAAGUAAAAGCGCAGAUUUUGUUGUCGAGCAUACUGUCUAUGGAAUAAGCGAUUUUCUAGCGUAUUGAUACUUUCAAUUUAUCCUACUAGAAUUUAAUGGGCUGUAAAAGUGCACACAUAAAAUUUUUCUUAAAUUUCUGAAUAACAAGUUUGAAAUUGUUGGGUGAUUUUGGUAAGAUUUGUUGAAGUUUUAUAAUUUUUGUACAAAGUUUGAAAUGUGGAUUUAUGUAUAUGGUGCUUGUUAUAUAAUGCGCUAGGGUUUUAUAAAAAAAAAAAUAU